rnacentral:rRNA from 1 species
AGCUUUUCGGCAAUACUGAUCUUGCGUGCUCAUUCACGCUGUAGUGAGUAUAGGCUCCAAUGUCAAGACGGUAGCGGCCUGGAGAGGUGACCGGAACACCUAGAACUGAGUACCGACCAGGCUCUACGGAGGCCAGCAGUGGGGGAAAUUUGCUCCAAUGGGCCGGAAGCCUGAUGCAGGGUACGCCGGCGUGAGGGAUGACGCCUUCAAGUUGUAAACCUCUUUCAGUAGGGAAGAAGCGAGAAGUGACGUACCUGCAGAAAGAAGCGCGGCUUACUACGUGCCAGCAGCCGCGGUAAUACGUAGGGCGCAAGCGUUAUCCGGAAAUUAUUUGGCGUAAAGAGCUCGUAGGCGGUUUGUCGCGUCUGCCGUGAAAGUCCCGGGGCUCAAACUCCGGAUCUGCGGUGGGUACGGGCAGACUAGAGUGAUGUAGGGGAGACUGGAAUUCCUGGUGUAGCGGUGAAAUGCGCAGAUAUCAGGAGGAACACCGAUGGCGAAGGCAGGUCUCUGGGCAUUAACUGACGCUGAGGAGCGAAAGCAUGGGGAGCGAACAGGAUUAGAUACCCUGGUAGUCCAUGCCGUAAACGUUGGGCACUAGGUGUGGGGGACAUUCCACGUUUUCCGCGCCGUAGCUAACGCAUUAAGUGCCCCGCCUGGGGAGUACGGCCGCAAGGCUAAAACUCAAAGGAAUUGACGGGGGCCCGCACAAGCGGCGGAGCAUGCGGAUUAAUUCGAUGCAACGCGAAGAACCUUACCAAGGCUUGACAUGAACCGGUAAGACCUGGAAACAGGUCCCCCACUUGUGGCCGGUUUACAGGUGGUGCAUGGUUGUCGUCAGCUCGUGUCGUGAGAUGUUGGGUUAAGUCCCGCAACGAGCGCAACCCUCGUUCCAUGUUGCCAGCGCGUUAUGGCGGGGACUCAUGGGAGACUGCCGGGGUCAACUCGGAGGAAGGUGGGGACGACGUCAAAUCAUCAUGCCCCUUAUGUCUUGGGCUUCACGCAUGCUACAAUGGCCGGUACAAAGGGUUGCGAUACUGUGAGGUGGAGCUAAUCCCAAAAAGCCGGUCUCAGUUCGGAUUGGGGUCUGCAACUCGACCCCAUGAAGUCGGAGUCGCUAGUAAUCGCAGAUCAGCAACGCUGCGGUGAAUACGUUCCCGGGCCUUGUACACACCGCCCGUCAAGUCACGAAAGUUGGUAACACCCGAAGCCGGUGGCCUAACCCCUUGUGGGAGGGAGCUUCGAAGGUGAACGGAUGUUUG